CAACUUGACCUGCCAACGACCAUCGUACUUCCUACUUCUUCAUUUUCAUAGUUCAGCUUUAGUCUUCACAGUGCUUUGCUUCAGUGAACACCUUAUCACAGUCCUCAAGUAAUAUUCAAGGCGUGCGUAGCUGUAGACAGUGUAGACAGCAGAGAAAUGCUGUAUUAUGGUAGACAGUGUAGGGCCGGUAUUCAGUGACAUUCCACUACUUCGAGAAUGCGUUAUGUUAUUAGUGUUGUGCCAUCUAUUGAAGAUAUCGAUCAAAUUGCAGUAAGUCUUCAUUCAUGUGUCACAGUAUUGGAGAUGAGAGGACGGGUGUAACAGCAAAUCAAGAAUGGCAGAUUGUAGAAACACCCAUUCAAGAGUUCUUCUGUUCACUUUUAAUUUUGCGAGCAACCUUUUCUUUGAAGACUGAUCCAUGACGUUGGAACAAUCUGCCUAGGAAUAUUGAAUGUUAACUCCUUUUACAUCAUACUUAUCAUCAUCCAGGAAGGAUCCACCGCAACAAGAAGAUAUGGAUGAAAAGUUGCAGAGGCUCUGUCUAGUCCAUUUGGUCAAACUUACCGACCGUCAAAUAAGAAAGUGGAAAAGAUCCAAAAGUCAAGUGCCAUGUUUGAAAGUACAGAUACCAAUGCAUAGAUUAAAAUGGAGAAUAAACAGAAGAAUUCAGAAAAAACUUGAAGAAUUGUUUGGAUAUGAUGAUGAAUUCCCAUUUUCAACACUUGUGCCAGAACCUGUUAACAACAAUACAAAAAUAAAUUCAAAUGACAACAACAAAAAUACUCUUGCUGAUGAACUUGUCUUUGAAACUGUUAACAACAAUACACAGAUAAAUUCAAAUGACAACAACAAAAAUACUCUUGCUGAUGAACUUGUCUUUGAAACUGUUAACAACAAUACACAAAUAAAUUCAAAUGAGAACAACAAAAAUACUCUUGCUGAUGAACUUGUCUUUGAAACUGUUAACAACAAUACACAAAUAAAUUCAAAUGAGAACAACAAAAAUACUCUUGCUGAUGAACUUGUCCUUGAAAAUCUACAUGAGACCCCCACACUGCAUCAUGAUGAGGCUCAAUGGAAACCCUCACAACAACCAAAACAACUUGAAACAAAUGAAACUAUUGAUUUUGAUCUCAAUGACACAGCUAUGGUUGAUAAACUUUUCCCGAGUUACCCACGAUUUCCUCGUAUCUCAAUCCCUGCAGAUACUGUAAUGCUCUUUGAUGAGGAAUUGAUCAGAAAAUCAACAAUUGGUAUUGCAGAAGACAGAGAACAAAGUAUUGUGAAGACAGCAGAAUGUUUGGACAGGACAAGUGAUCAUGGCUCUAUAAAAACUGAAGUAGAUGAUGAUGAUGAUGUAGUGUUUGUCGGGGAGAAGACAAUUCAGCCCACACCAACUGAAAAAUCUGUAAUCCGUGUCAGGUCACCAAAUUUCUUGGGGAUUGACUCCUGUGGUCGCAUGGACAAUGCUUUACAACAAAAUAAUGAUUGUUCCAGCGAAGAUGAUCCAGGUAAAAUUUCUAGAAAUAAGAGUACCAGUAAUCAAUGGUAUGAAGUGAAGAUUCGGCUGAAACUUCCAGAAACAACUGAGGAAACUCCAAAUGUUGAGAUUGAGCAUACAACUUCAACGUUAGCAUUCCCAGUGUCUGCAACUAAUAUAAAUAUUCUUGAUAACCCUCCAACUUACAACUACUCAGCUGCACAAUACUCCGGUGGUAGAACAAACAACAAACAGCCAAAUCAACAAUCACUCAACCAGCAUAAUCCGUUCAGUAUGGAUGAAGAUGCCAACAAAUGGUCACAAUUGCCACCAGGCCUAACAAGACAAGAAUUCAAUGUUUGGGCUACUCAACCAUUCAGUGAGGCAUCACCAGCUAUAUCAGUAAAUCAACAAAAACCUUCAACGGAUUUCAGCAAUAGUCAGCAGCUAUUGAGGCCCACAUACAGUGGGACACCACCAGCAACUCCAAUAAAUCAGCAAAGGCCGUCAGCAGAUUUCAGCAAUAGUCAGCAGUUAUCAAGGCCCACAUACAGUGGGGCACCACCAGCAAUAUCAUUAAAUCAGCAAAGGCCCCCAGCAGAUUUCAGCAAUAGUCAGCAGCUGUCAAGGCCCACUUACAGUGGGUCACCACCUGAAAUAUCAGUAAAUCAACAAAGGCCUUCAACAGAUUUCAGCAAUAGUCAGCAGCUAUCAAGGCCCACAUACAGUGGGGCACCACUAGAAAUACCAGUAGAUCAACAAAGGCCUUCAACAGAUUUUAGCAAUAGUCAGCCAUUAUUAAGGCCCACAUACAGCGGAACACUACCAGCAACUCCAAUAAAUCAGCAAAGGCCUUUAACAGAUUUCAGCAAUAGUCAGCAGCUAUCAAGGCCCACAUACAGUACGGCACCACCAGCAAUACCAGUGAAUCAACAAAGGCCUUCAACAGAUAUCAGCAAUAGGCAGCAGUUAUCAAGGCCUACAUACAGUGGGGCACCACCAGCAAUACCAUUAAAUCAGCAAAGGCCUCCAGCAGAUUUCAGCAAUAGUAAGCCAUUAUCAAGGCCUACAUACAGUGGGGCCCCACCAGCAAUACAAAUGAAUCAGCAAAGGCCUUUAACAGAUUUCAGCAAUAGUCAGCCAUUAUCAAGGCCCACAAACAGUGGAGCACCACCAGAAAUACCAGUAAAUCAACAAACGCCUUCAACAGAUUUUAGCAAUAGUCAGCCAUUAUUAAGGCCCACAUACAGUGGAACACUACCAGCAACUCCAAUAAAUCAACAAACGCCUUCAACAGAUUUUAGCAAUAGUCAGCCAUUAUUAAGGCCCACAUACAGUGGAACACUACCAGCAACUCCAAUAAAUCAGCAAAGGCCUCCAGCAGAUUUCAGCAAUAGUCAGCAGUUAUCAAGGCCUACAUACAGUGGUGCCCCACCAGCAAUACAAUUGAAUCAGCAAAGGCCUUUAACAGAUUUCAGCAAUAGUCAGCAGCUAUCAAGGCCCACAUACAGUACGGCACCACCAGCAAUACCAGUAAAUCAACAAAGGCCUUCAACAGAUAUCAGCAAUAGGCAGCAGUUAUCAAGGCCUACAUACAGUAGGGCACCACCAGCAAUACCAGUAAAUCAACAAAGGCCUUCAACAGUUAUCAGCAAUAGUCAGCAGCUAUCAAGGCCCACAUACAGUGGGGCACCACCAGCAAUACCAGUAAAUCAACAAAGGCCUUCAACAGAUAUCAGCAAUAGGCAGCAGUUAUCAAGGCCUACAUAUAGUGGGGCCCCACCAGCAAUACCAGUAAAUCAGCAAAUGCCUUUAACAGAUUUCAGCAAUAUUCAGCAGUUAUCAAGGCCCACAUACAGUGAAGCACCACCAGAAAUACCAGUAAAUCAGCAAAGGCCUUUAACAAUUUUCAGCAAUUGUCAGCAGUUAUCAAGACCCACAUACAUUGGGGCACCACCAGAAAUACCAGUAAAUCAGCAAAGGCAUUCAGCAGGUAUCAGCAAUUGUCAGCAGUUAUCAAGGCCCACAUACAGUGGGGCACAACCAGCAAUACCAGUAAAUUUGCAAAGGUCUUCAUCAGAUAUCAGCAAUUGUCAGCCGUUUUCAAAUCCCACACACAGUGGGGCACCACCACCAAUACUGCCAGCUGAGAAUGUUGAGAAUUUUCUGGGAGGAAUUCAGGUGCAAUCUAAACUACCAGACCUUUCUGAGGACCCAAACCUAUCAGAAUUACUCGAUUCAAUGCUUGAAAUCAAUCCAGUAUCAAAUAUGAUAUACAGCAACCAUGGUGAGCAUUUGCCUACAAGAGGCAUUAGGGGCGCCAGUAGGAGAGCAAGAGGCAGUAGAGGGGCCAGAUCUGCGAGAGGCACUAGAGGUGCCAGAGGCACUAGAGGUGUCAGGGGCACUAGGGGUGCCAGAGGCACUAGAGGUGCCUCAAUUGCAACAUUUGCCUGUACGUCAAGUGAUUCCUCUUGCUACCAACAUUCAGCUGAUUCAGCUGACCAGCAACCAUUCACUAUGAUAUCAAAAAUUAUUAGAUUAAAUGUUGAUGCUGUCGAAGUAAGUUACAAUAUUGAUCAUCAGUGUAUGAGAAUAAGACACGCAGAUUCCGCGAUUGUAUCAGCUUGUGUUCAACAAGAAAAUUGUGGAACUUAUUGUGUUAAUUCAUAUUUAAAAUGAAUAUAAAUAGGUUAUGGUUUGAAGUUGAAUUGACAGUGAGAAAAGCAGAUUUUACAUGUGUUGAAACAAUUGUAAAGUCAAACAGUGCGUCAUUUUACUUCUCAUCAUUUCUUUUGAAAGAGUAUAACCAACAACUAUUGGUAUGGCGGAUAUCCACACAACAAUAAUACAUGAAAGACUGUAGGGCCCGGUUGUUUAAAAACAUGUUGAAUUUAAAUUAUGAUUUAAUUUUUAGAGAACCAAUCUGAGUAGGGUUUUCUGUAAAGAGGGCUUCUGUGUUUGACUUUCGUGGCAUUUAGUCAACAGACUUUUGAGCAACCGGGUGAGUGCCAUCAAUUGUAGGCCUAUAUAUCACGGUAUGGCAAUUCCUUGAUUAGUGAUUAGGCUACACAUAUAUGACUUGAAGACUGAAUUACUAGAUUAGUCUCUAAGUGAGACAUAUUCAUAAUCAUAGCUUUAAGUGAGUCGAGUUCAGUAUCUAAACUACUGCUCUUUUAAUAUUAUAGUAUUUGUAAGAGUACUCUAUGAUCCUCGUUCUACCAUACCGAUUUAGGAACUGGAGAAUUGCCUUCCUGUUAUUGAAGUGUUUGUAAUAUUAGUGAUUGAAUAGGCCUACCUACUACAAGUAGUUUUGUACGUACUUUCAUGUUAUUGAUGUAUUUUUUUAU
rnacentral:misc_RNA from 1 species